rnacentral:rRNA from 1 species
GUAACAUAGUAGGUGUACUGGAANGUGUAUCUGGAAUUAUAG